GACGAACCUUGCAAACGUUAUUCGGAAUCACUGGGCUUAAAGGGUGCGUAGGCUGUGCAGAAAGUUGGGUGUGAAAUACCUCGGCUUAACCGAGGAAUUGCGCCCAAAACUACUGUGCUAGAGGAAGAUAGAGGUGAGCGGAACUUAGGGUGGAGCGGUGAAAUGCGUUGAUAUCCUAAGGAACACCGGUGGCGAAAGCGGCUCACUGGAUCUUAUCUGACGCUGAGGCACGAAAGCCAGGGUAGCGAACGGG
rnacentral:rRNA from 1 species